AACGAACGCUGGCGGCAUGCCUAACACAUGCAAGUCGAACGAGACCUUCGGGUCUAGUGGCGCACGGGUGCGUAACGCGUGGGAACCUGCCCUUAGGUUCGGAAUAACUCCCCGAAAGGGGUGCUAAUACCGGAUAAUGUCUUCGGACCAAAGAUUUAUCGCCUUUGGAUGGGCCCGCGUUGGAUUAGCUAGUUGGUAGGGUAAAAGCCUACCAAGGCGACGAUCCAUAGCUGGUCUGAGAGGAUGAUCAGCCACACUGGGACUGAGACACGGCCCAGACUCCUACGGGAGGCGGCAGUGGGGAAUAUUGAACAAGGGGAGAAAGCCUGACCCAGCAUGGCCGGGGGAGGAAGGAGGGCCUUGGGGUUGAAAAGCUUUUUUCCCGGGGGUGAUAAGGACAGUCCGGGGAAAAAAGCCCCGGGCAACCCCGGUG
rnacentral:rRNA from 1 species